GGUGGCCCUGAUCAUAAUACACAUAGCGUUAUUGAGGUACAGGAAACUAAAUCAGAUGGUUCUGCUGAGAGAAAUAUUUUUUAUCUUUAUAAACCAAAAAAAAAAUUCCAAACCUUAAUAGAUCAAACAUAAAAAUGCAGAUAUAGCAAAUCAGAAAGCUAAAUUUCAUAAAUAGUACAAACUUCUGUUUGUAUUAUAUUUCUA